GCCUGGCGCGGUGGCACACGCCUGUAAUCCAAGCAGCUUGGGAGGCUGAGACAGGAGGAUCACGAGUUCAAAGCCAACUUCAGCAACAACAAAGCACUAAGCAACUUUGUGAGAUUGUCUCUA
rnacentral:sRNA from 1 species